AUGACUUCAAGGACAAAUGUGACAAUCUCACCCUUCAAAGGCCGACAACAUCAUAGAUCUUCGUUCAAUCAUUCUCAGGGAAUAAAUGGACGGGAUAUCGAAGCUCAUGCCCCUAGUCACAAAAGAAAUAUGUUAUCUAGGAACAUCUUUAACAUUAGGAUCCCCAAAUCCAUCAAAUAUCCACCAAAGCUCGACAACUAUGGCAAGAUUAGGGAUCUAGAUGAACAUAUUGAACAUGUGGUCAUUCUGCUUGUCUAUUUCCACGCCAAGAGCGCAAUAAAGUGA